AGAUCAUAUCAUGUAUGUCUUCAGCAGUACAUUCUGUCUGGGUUGAUGAGCACUUCAGCCGAUCAAUGCUGUUAUUUUCCCUGUGGUAUAAAGAUGACAAAUCACUCAUGUCUCAAUGCUGGUAUUUUAUCAAAAGUUUGAAUGAAUAUCAAGGCUGAGGACAACAGGGAAAGAUGAGGCUCAGAACAACAGCAGUUAUGUGACAGCACAGGCUGGAUGGAUUCUUCUGCCUUUACACCACUGCUUAUCACUGUAUUAUGUUAAAUCCCACACAAAUCAGCUUUGAAUUGGAUACUACAGCUUUGUUUGUUCUGAGCAAAAGUGGCAGAGUCCACGAGGAGGGUGGAUGAUGGAGUAUUAUUUAUGGGACUGCGAGAUCUCUGUUUUAAUCCGAGUCUUCCUUGUUCCUUAUUGACUGUCAUUUCUGAUGCAAUCUCUGCACCUUCUUUAAUGUUGGUUUGCCUCCUAGACUACAGCUACUGGCAAAAGAGUCAGAAUGGGGAAAAUUAGGCUUGACGUGCAUUAGAAAUGACCUCCACUAUAUUGCUUAAGUUAAUAGCAGGAAAACUAUAUGAAUACAUUUACCUUGUCUACCCUUUGUUGUACAGUUUUAUAUAGAUUUUGAAGGCUUGAGGUGCUGUUUUUUUGACAAUGCAGUAUGUGGCAUAGUGAUGUCCAUGUCUCAGGUGAGACAUCUACAUGCCGCUGUGGAAUGCUAUAGUAAGAAUUAGACUCUUAGCUUGAGAUGUGUGAGCUUACUUAGGAAUUUCUGGGCUUUUUUCUUUGUUUCCUAGUUGUUUUGAUGGUUUUCUUUCUUUCUCUCCCUCUUUUUUUUUUUUCUUUUUGUAUUUAAGUGGGCUUUACCUCAACUUUCUUAUUCAGUAGUCCUUUAUUUUUGAUGGGUAAGAUGAUAUUGAGAAGACAAAUCCCCUGAGUAUCAUUUGUUGGCCGGGAAGAAUAUUUCAAAAGAAAGUUGCAGAGAAGCACUUUUCAAUUACAGUUUCUUAGUCCCUAACUUGUGAUGACUCACAAGCAGGCAGGAAUUUUAGCAGUGAAUUUAUCCUCUGAGGGUCUAUCUCAGAUGGCAUUUGAGAUGAUUAGAGAAUUAGGAGGAAGGAUUAACGCGAAAUAUCAGGCACAGGAACAUCUUGUGCCAAAGUUGGAGGAUCAAAUAUCAACCUUUGGAAAGGAAUUGCGAGCUCAGAAUGAGAAUUAUAAUAGUCUAAAUGAGAAGGCUGGGAGGGCUGGGCAUUUAUCUGUAGCUUUGGUAAUGGAGACCCUGGGUCUUCAGUAGAAAAUGGAAGUGACAGAGAAGCAAAUUAAAAUGUAGAAUGUGAGGUUGUUUGGCAUGAAAAUGAAAGGCACGGUAUAAUUGAAACUAGGGGUGUGAUGUAAGAGUUGCUUGAACUUUGUAUUUCAUCUGCUAUUGAUGAGGCAUAAGGUUUUACUGUUUUCCUCAAAAUUUCUUAUACUAUUAAAAGACGUAUAUUUUGCAGUGAUUUUGGUGAAGCGUUUAUUGCAACUCCUGGGUUAUUUCUUCAGAAGAAUUACCAAUAUAAGUAAAAAGUACGAUCUGCAUCUCAAGAGUAGAAUUUUUCACCAGCCCAGAGUUCUUGGUGUUUGAUUGUUUUAGUUGUCAGACUUUCAGCUGCUUGCUAAUGUGCACCUUUGUAAUUUCUUUUUAGUUACUCAAAUACAAUUCAUUCUUUUCAGAUUUUCUUGAGGUAAUGUUGUUAGAUCCUCUUCCCAACCAGAACCUUUGUCAGUGUAGUCUUCUGUAUCAUAUCUUGCCAGAGACAGUGCAGAUAUGUUUUUCUGUUUGUUUUCCCAAAAUGUGUUUAUCUAAUAUUCAUUAAAGUAUCGGGCUAAUGAUUCCUUAUAAACACUACUCACUAAAGGUACCCUUUACUAAACAGUCUUUAUUGUUUAGGAUAAAUAGAAGCCUAUUGUAAUUUUGUUAAUUAACACAAUAUAUUUUUCUGUUAAUUAUACACAUGGCUAUGCCUGAAACCUAAGCAGAAACAUAAUAGUAAUUUUUGGAUGUGUGUAAUUCUGAAGUUCCACUAAUAUAUAUUCUAUGCAAACAUGUUCUAAUGCAUCUUUUUUCAUAUAGAAAUCAGAGUAUAGGUGAUUGUAGAUGCUAAUGCACUAUUUAUGCAAAGUUUUCUUUAAAACCUUGAAUGUUUAAACCUAAACUUUCAUCAUCGCUUGAAUUUUUUUUAUAUUGCCUAUUUCACUUCACUGAAUGUGCAGAUUUGUCCAAUAAGUGAGGAAGGGAAAAGGAAAAACCUAAAAGCACGACUAUCAAAUUUAUCUGAAGAAGGUGAAUAGGAACCAGAAUAAUUGUAAAUGAUAAAUAGCAAAGAACACAAGUGAUAGGAGAUCUUCCUCCCGAAGUUCUUCUGGGGUAUAUCUAAUGGCAAAUUGGCAAGUACAUAUAAGAUAAAAUAAGUAGAAAACAAUCUGUGCAUUUUGGUUCUUCAACAUUACAAAUAAACAAUGAUCAAUAUUGGACAC
rnacentral:lncRNA from 7 species